rnacentral:rRNA from 1 species
GCCGCCGCGGUAAUACGGAAGGUCCGGGCGUUAUCCGGAUUUAUUGGGUUUAAAGGGAGCGUAGGUGGACUGUCAAGUCAGUUGUGAAAUCCGCGGGCUCAACCUGCGGCCUGCAGUUGAAACUGGCGGUCUUGAGUCCGUUCAGGGAUGCUGGAAUUCAUGGUGUAGCGGUGAAAUGCUCAGAUAUCAUGAAGAACUCCAAUCGCGAAGGCAGGCAUCCGGGCCGGAACUGACACUGAGGCUCGAAAGUGCGGGUAUCAAACAGGAUUAGAUACCCC